AUUGAACGCUGGCGGCAGGCCUAACACAUGCAAGUCGAACGAGUGGCGGACGGGUGAGUAAUGUCGGGGAAACUGCCGGAUGGGGGGGGAUAAAUACUGGAAACGGUAGCUAAUACCACAUACCAUCAGAUGUGCCCAGAUGGGAUUAGCUAGUUGGUGGGGUAACGGCUCACCAAGACGACGAUCCCAAGCUGGUCUGAGAGGCUGACGGUCCACGCUGGAAAUGAUACACGGUCCAGACUCCUACGGGAUGUAUCAGUGGAGAAUAUUGCACAAUGGGCGCAGGCCUGAUGCAGCCAUGCCGCGUGUAUGAAGAAGGCCUUCGGGGUGUAAAGUACUUUCAGCGAGGAGGCGUUACCCGCAGAAGAAGCACCGGCUAACUCCGUGCCAGCCGCCGCGGUAAUAC
rnacentral:rRNA from 1 species